AACGAACGCUGGCGGCAUGCCUAACACAUGCAAGUCGAACGAAGCCUUCGGGCUUAGUGGCGCACGGGUGCGUAACGCGUGGGAAUCUGCCCUUGGGUUCGGAAUAACAGUUAGAAAUGACUGCUAAUACCGAAUGAUGUCUUCGGACCAAAGAUUUAUCGCCCAAGGAUGAGCCCGCGUCGGAUUAGCUAGUUGGUGAGGUAAAGGCUCACCAAGGCGACGAUCCGUAGCUGGUCUGAGAGGAUGAUCAGCCACACUGGGACUGAGACACGGCCCAGACUCCUACGGGAGGCAGCAGUGGGGAAUAUUGGACAAUGGGCGAAAGCCUGAUCCAGCAAUGCCGCGUGAGUGAUGAAGGCCUUAGGGUUGUAAAGCUCUUUUUACCCGGGAUGAUAAUGACAGUACCGGGAGAAUAAGCCCCGGCUAACUCCGUGCCAGCAGCCGCGGUAAU
rnacentral:rRNA from 1 species